UGCCAGACUCCUACGGGAGGCAGCAGUGGGGAAUAUUGCACAAUGGGGGAAAUCCUGAUGCAGCAACGCCGCGUGAGUGAGGAAGUAUUUCGGUAUGUAAAGCUCUAUCAGCAGGGAAUAGAAAAGAAGGUACCUGAAAAAGAAGCCCCGGCUAACUACGUGCCAGCAGCCGCGGUAAUACGUAGGGGGCAAGCGUUAUCCGGAUUUACUGGGUGUAAAGGGAGCGUAGGCGGUUAGAUAAGUCUGAUGUGAAAGCCCACAGCGUAACUGUGGGAUUGCAUUGGAAACUAUAGAACUAGAGUGUCGGAGAGGUAAGUGGAAUUCCUAGUGUAGCGGUGAAAUGCGUAGAUAUUAGGAGGAACACCAGUGGCGAAGGCGGCUUACUGGACGAUGACUGACGCUGAGGCUCGAAAGCGUGGGGAGCAAACAGGAUUAGAUACCCCGGUAAA
rnacentral:rRNA from 1 species